CGGACCGCAAGGACUAAAACUACAAAGGAAGUUGACGGGACCCGCACAAGCGGUGGAUGAUGUGGAUUAAUUCGAUGCAACGCGAAAAACCUUACCUACCCUUGACAUGUCAGGAAUCCCGAAGAGAUUUGGGAGUGCUCGCAAGAGAGCCUGAACACAGGUGCUGCAUGGCUGUCGUCAGCUCGUGUCGUGAGAUGUUGGGUUAAGUCCCGCAACGAGCGCAACCCUUGUCAUUAAUUGCCAUCAUUCAGUUGGGCACUUUAAUGAGACUGCCGGUGACAAACCGGAGGAAGGUGGGGAUGACGUCAAGUCCUCAUGGCCCUUAUGGGUAGGGCUUCACACGUCAUACAAUGGUCGGUCCAGAGGGUUGCCAACCCGCGAGGGGGAGCCAAUCUCAGAAAGCCGAUCGUAGUCCGGAUCGCAGUCUGCAACUCGACUGCGUGAAGUCGGAAUCGCUAGUAAUCGCGGAUCAGCAUGUCGCGGUGAAUACGUUCCCGGGUCUUGUACACACC
rnacentral:rRNA from 1 species